CCGAAAACAGCGACGUUUAAAAGUGCCCACCUUUCUUAGCUUGGGGAGGAAGAAAGCAAGGGCGGAGGACGCCUCCGACACCACUUCAUCCUGAGACAACUCAUCACCUGCCGUACAUCGAGCCUACGGUUAGGUCCACCUGGCCGUUGGGUUCGCCUCCGACCCGGGCCCCGGCCGAAACCAAGCUCCUAACCGGAAAUUUCCCGCCUUCGAUUCCUUCAUGUAAUGGAGAAAGAAGAGCCGACUUUAAACACCUUUUUAUGAUCCCCUUUUCUAUCGACCAUCUCACUCUGCUGAAGCACUACUGGACGGCUGGCAAGAUUGAACAGUAUCCAGAAGGUAACCCGCCACCCUUACCUGUGGUUCGUUUAAGGAAUGAAGGUGAGGAUCCUGUGUGGUGGGCUGGUGAAUCUCAAGCUGUUGAAGAACCACAUCCAAACAAUUUGGAUGGACUUAUUGUUGUGCCAUGAAGUGCUUGAUGUAAGAUCAGUUCCCUUGACCCUUUUUUUAAAAAAAAAAGGUUUUGUGAUAAAAGCUGCAAAUAAAAUGUUCCUUUAGCGAUCUUGUUGCCCAGGACUUGCAGUUUGGUUCACAAGAAAGCAUCACGAGUUGGCUAGACCGUUUAUAGAAUGAAAUAUGUGGGAACUGAUACCUCCAAAGAUCUCAAUGAAGACGCAAUUUGUGUAUCUCGUGGGAUUUGUACUUUAGUGGCAAUUAUGUCCUCAAUUGUGUGGUCAGCUGAAUAGGGUGAGAGAUUCAAGAUGCUUGUUUGGCUAUGCAAUCCAACAUUUUCCUCAACUCUUUAAAUUCUGUAACCUUUAAAAAUCAAAUUGGAACGACAUCGAAUUUUUGUAGGUAAACAUCCCAAAGGAUCCAAAUGUUAGGGAGAGGUUGGCUUUGCAUGCAA